CACCAAAACAUCAGCAAAAAUUCCUCUCCCCUCUCUCCUCUCCAACCCACGACAACCCUCUCCUUCAAAUAAUCCCAAAGGCUUCUCUUGUUCUCCACAAAGAAGCUAGCUCUUCUCCUUCUCUACCCUCAAUAAUUCACCAUAUACUCAUAAAAGGUUUCUCUCGUCAAUAACCUCCAAGAAACAGCCCUCCCACAGCCUUCAAACUCAGCCCAAAGCAUCUCAAGAUCAUCCAUGGCCAAAACUCGAAGACCUCCAUGAAUCCUUCGAUUUCUCCUUCUCCUAUCUUUAAUUUUCUUCAAAUGGGUAAGGACCCCUUGGUCUUUACUGAAAUUGAAUUGCAUGCUAAGAUUAUUUAUGUUUUUAUGUUAAUCUUAUGUGUUUAAGUUUGGGUUUUACGAUUAUAAGAUGAUUGGGUGUAGAAUCAUGAACUAGAUGAUUAGAUUAAAAUUUACAGGUUCAUAGUCACGGUAUUUAAGACACGUUUCGUAGACGAUUUAUUUUUAUAAAAAUGUGAAAUUCCUAGAAAAUAUAGAUCACUCUGUUAUCUUGAAUUGUAUAUAAAGUGUGUCUUAUUUGGAUUAAAAAUGAUUAAGUUGUGAUUUAUUUUCCGGAACUGCACAAAUUAUGUGUCAUGAAAGAAAUGCAUGUCAAAUCUGAUUUUUUAUUACUCCAAUCAUAGUUAUUCCACUUGGAUUAGAUAAUAGACUUUUAAAGGUAAUCUUUGUCAUAAUUUCACGGUGUUUUGAAAAGAAUAUAAUUUUAUUUGGUAUUUUUGAAGUCACUGCUCUGUUUCUGGAUUUUCGACAACAGAGCUGUACGGUUUUACCUAUUCCUCUUAAUUGGAUAGUUAUUUUCGAAAACUGUUUUAUAUGGGUACUCUUAACUUCGAGGAGAGUAUUAUUUUAAAGUUUCAGAAUUUUUGGAUGCAUGAUUAAAGAGAAAUGAAUUUUCAAAACUAAAGUACUAAAACUGCCCUAUUUUAUAAAAUGAAUUUCUUUGAAUUCAUGGAAUUAAUUAUGAACAUGUUUUAAACUCUUGAUGCUUAACCUUAAAAGCAUGUCUGAACUUAGAACAAAUGAUUUAGAGUAUUUCGCUUAUAGAAUAACUCUUGAAGAAAUUAGUGACCGGGGAUAAGUUAGAGUAUGAUUAUAAUGUAAGGAACGGUCAUAAAUUGUUUAUAGAACUUAUGUGCUAUUUAGAUGAUCUAAAAGUUCAUGAUUAUUGUUAUGUGUAUUCGAUUAUAUACUUGACUAGAAUUAUGUGGAUUAGAACUUCGUGUGUGAUAAAUUAAAUAUACGCUUGAUUGUGGUUUAAUCUUGUACAAGUAUCUAUAGAUAUAAUAUAUGUAUAUAUAUCUAUAUAUGUAUUUAGGCCUGCGUGGUUGUGAUUAUACUCCAACCCAUGGCUUAUGUAUUAUAAGUAUGCUACUAUAUAUAAAUAUAUAUAUAUAUAUAUAUAUAUAUAUAUAUAUAUAUAUAUAUAUAUAUAUAUAUAUAUAUAUAUAUAUAUAUAUAUAUAUAUAUAUAUAUAUAUAUAUAUAUAUAUAUAUAUAUAUAUAUAUAUAUAUGCCUACGUGGUCGUGAUUAUACUCCGAUCCAUGGCUUAUGAAUUAUACUUAUAUAUCUAAAUUGUUGUUAUGUGAUCUUGUGGUAAAGGUAAAGUACUCGAUGCUUUAUGUGAAAUAUUAUAUAGCUAUGGCCUAAGGUGCAUUUAAAUGCGAUAUAAGUGAUAUUUUUAAUGAUACGAAUGUGUGAUUAUGUGGUUAUAUGAUUAUGUGAUUAUGUGACUAUGAUAUGAUUAAAAUUGAGGAAUGCCCUCCUUUGUGCUACUUUGGGUUAUGAAAUGUUAUGUGUACUUUUGAAGUGAAAGUGUUAUGUUCUAUAUGAUUAUGUGUUUAAUGAUUUGAUUAAAGAUUUGAAGUAUAGUUGGUAUGGUACUUGUUACUUUGUUGUUUGUUUAUGUGAAAGUAAAGAUAGAUAAAUCAUAUGAUUCAUUAGUAAGUCUAGGAUACAUAAAUCAUGACUUUUCAAAGUUAAAAAUGUUUGGAAAUUGGUUGUGGAUCUAGGUGAAUAAGUAUGGGAUACGGGGGGCUGGUAUUCCGUUAGUGGUUAAUAGUUGGGGUCCACAUAGGGGCCUGUCCACAUAGGGACUGAUUCACAUAGGAAUCGGGAUUAUAAACCACUAACUCGGCUAUAGUAAAGUUAUAGCCGUGACUAUAUUCCGGUUAGUGGUUGAUAGUUGGGGUCUACAUAGGGGCCUGUCCACAUAGGGACUGAUUCACAUAGGAAUCGGGAUUAUAAACCACUAGCUCGGCGAUAGUAAAGUUAUAGUCGUGACUAUAGUAAAGUUAUAGAUCACAAGCUCCAAAAUACACGGCUUAUUGCCGAACUCCACGAUUGUUUUUCCAAACGGGCCCAAUGUUUUCUCAUGCAUUAUUUCAUGAAAAGUCUAGAAGUCUAAAGUUGCAUAUUGCAUAUUGCAUAGUAAAGUUAAAAGGGUGUUAAGUACCCUUAAAAGAUAGAAGGGUGUUAAGUACCCGAUUAUAAAAGAAAGUUGGAUGUUAAGUAUCCGUGAAUGUUUAAAGUAACAGGUAAUUGUGACAUUCAUGUUAAGUGUAUGAAUGAAUGAUUGCAAGUUUAUUAUAUGCCUAAUUUUAUGUAUUAAGUUUCUUAUGUGGCCAAUUAUAUGUGAUAUGAAUGAAUGUCAUGAUAUUGAAUAAAUGAAUAUAGUUAUGCCAUAAAAGACGUAGAUGAAAAGAACAUAGACAAGGACUUUAGGACUCCCGUAGGGCGUGAGUGACAUGUUGAGAGAGGUGUGAGUAUCGUCAGGCCAAUGUUCUUACUGAGCCAGUGGUUAGGCUCACGCUUUAUGCGAAUCCCCUUUUCAGGUCCUCAAUGUAAUCAGAGUGGCGCAGCGGAGCGGAGUUGGAGGAAUCACAAGCCUUGAUGCCUUAUAUGUCUUCUCCGGAUUUCUUAUAAAAUUAUGUCUCCACUUUUCCCUUUUAAAAGUCUAAUGUAUAAUGGAGAUCUUUAUGAGUUCAUUUUGUACUCUGAUUUUGGAAUCUAGUCUAUUAAACCGGGGUAUAUAAAUAAAGUUUAAUUUCUUCCGCUGUAUUCUGUAAACCCC
rnacentral:lncRNA from 1 species